rnacentral:rRNA from 1 species
AGGCUGACGCAGCGACGCCGCGUGAAGGAUGAGGUCCGUUAGGAUGUAAACUUCUUUUGCAGGGGAUGAAUGUCCCGAAUUCAUUCGGGAUUGACCGUACCCUGCGAAUAAGGAUCGGCUAACUACGUGCCAGCAGCCGCGGUAAUAAUC